UAAAAUGUAGAGCUAUCAUUCGACAUGAUGGCAAUUUUGUGUAGGAUACUAGGAUCUCAUGGUAAAUUCACAUAGGCUGAUGUUUUUGGGUCAACGAAGCAGUUUCUUUAAACUAAUCAUUUCCAAAUCCUAAAACUUAAUUUGGGGUUGUGGCAAAAAUUGAUGACUAAGCUAUCUUUGCUAUUAGGUCCAUGUUUCCCAUGGACCCAUGCUUCACGUAGCAACAUUUUUGGAAUUCGUCCAACGACAAUUUUGUAGGGAAUGACAAUGAUUAAGCUAAUGGAGCAAGUCAACUUAAGUUC
rnacentral:lncRNA from 1 species